GGUGAACGCUGGCGGCGUGCUUAACACAUGCAAGUCGAACGAGAGAAGAUCGGUGCUUGCACUGAUCCGAUCGAGUGGCGGACGGGUGAGUAACGCGUGGGUAACCUGCCUCAUACAGGGGAAUAACAGUUGGAAACGGCUGCUAAAACCGCAUAAGCGCACAGUAUCGCAUGAUACAGUGUGAAAAACUCCGGUGGUAUAGAGAUGGACCCGCGUCUGAUUAGCUAGUUGGUGAGGUAACGGCCCACCAAGGCAACGAUCAGUAGCAGGCCUGAGAGGUGGAACGGCAAAAUGGGGACUGAGACACGGCCCAAACUCCGACGGGAGGCAGCAGUGGGGAAUAUUGCACAAUGGGGGAAACCCUGAUGCAGCGACGCCGCGUGAGUGAUGAAGUAUUUCGGUAUGUAAAGCUCUAUCAGCAGGGAAGAUAAUGACGGUACCUGACUAAGAAGCACCGGCUAAAUACGUGCCAGCAGCCGCCGUAA
rnacentral:rRNA from 1 species